ACACACACACACACGCACACAAACUUUCUGAGACUUCAUUUAGCACAGACUUCCUGGACUAAAUGACUCAGACUGAAAGUCAGCGUUUUAUUAUAGGGGAAUUUGUGUGUUUGGUGUUUACUUGAAACCUUUUUUUUUCUUUUAAGAGACAUAUGAAAUGGAGACGAGCUCAGGCACUGUUACACGUCUCUUCUUCGUGGGUUUUUGGGUGUGAAGCAGACUCGUAGUGCGCGAGCACCAUUACACAUCUCACGAGCCGAGCUGCAGCACUGUGGAGCCAGAUACCGCGCGUGCAUUAUUGUUAUUAUUCUUCCGGGGAAGUAGCUUGUCUAUCUAUAUACGGGAUCUUGUCUAACGGGUCGCUGUGAAUCUCACGUCACCUCAGUUGAACUUGGGUGAGCUGGUUCACCAGAGAACGCUGUCAGACCGGUUUGGGCUGCCGGAUGCCGCGACCUAUAGGAGGGGAAAGAAAGCAAGAAAGAAAACGCUAUCGUUAUUACGCUAGAGUGCUUGAAAGAGACCAUCUCUCGACGUCAGUCGUAGGCGUUUUUUUUUGUUUUUUUUUGCGACCCGGGUCGCUGUGCUUUUUGCUCGCGCUCGUCUCUGUCGUCGUUGCUGAGGAGCUCGCGCUCAACAAAAGUAACCGGGACGACAGGAAUUCGCCAUGGAGAAGAAUGACAGCUUCACCGCCUGGAGACCGCGAGCUACCGUCUCUCCUCUCCUCUCCUCUCCUCUUUUCUUCUCUUCGCUCUUGAACUUGAACUCCAAAACCGCCUCGUAAAACCCCCACAUCAUCUCCGUUGUUGCUUAAAAUGGCGUAACCCUACAUGCAGCCCUUUCGUUGUUUGCCAGCUUCUUGAUCAGAGGCUGACCCCAGAGUUCACAGCUGUAAUUGAGAAGUCUUGCAGACACGUGCGCAUGGGGCCCCAGGAGAGACCACCACUGCAGCAGAGCUGGGGAGCGAAAGGUGAGUGAUAAAAGGUGUAUUUUUCCCCUUUUUAUUUUAAUUUAAUUAGACAAAAUAUUCUAUACUACAACGUAUUGAUAAAACUUGCACCUUGAUACCGAACAGUGAGUGUUAAAUAAAAAGUGAGUUCAAGUUUUAUGGAUGCUAUUUUGAAUUUUUAUUGCCAUUAAUGGUCCUCAGUGUAUAUGUGUCGAUCCAUAUUUAUUUCCAUUGCUUUUAUUUUCUACUAUGUGCAAUAUUUAAUCACAGCCGAAUUUGAACCCAGCAGAGUAGGCACUGUUAAGGGCUUAAUAAUACCAUGCUUGAACUGACCACUGAUAGCAGGUCCAUGCUUUGCUCUUUCCUCCUUUAUACCAGACCUCUGCUCUAGUACGAGAACUUUAGAUGUUUAAGAUCACUUUGAGCCAACAAUAAACAUUCAAGUUCUUUUAUCUGUGUGCCAGAUUUGUGUAAUCCUGUGUUCAGAUGUCUGGCGGAUCUGGAAGUAAAGUUGCCUAGUAAUGAAUUUACUGCAUUUUUGGUUUUUGCUAAUCCUCUUAGUUGAAACAGAUGAUACACUGCACAGCUUGACUCGGACACUUAACAAACUUACUCACUUAGCACUUGGUUGUGGAUGAUUUUUUUUAAUGAGAUAAAUGUUCAUAAAUACACCCACCCCAAAAACACUGCCUGAAGAAUCUUAAGCAUAAAGACAUAUUGGAUAAGUAAGGUAUACAUUUUGUCCCUUUCCACCAUGAUUACAUAAUUUCCCAAGGUGUACUGUGCAUGUAUAUACUAUUUAAAUAGACCUUUUUGCACUAAUGUAUUGAGGAGAAGCAGCCAUUUUGAUUUAUGAAUGAAAAGACAUUUUGCCUGGCUACAGUGACAUUAGUAGAAACAUAAGCCUGUUGCUGAUGUACAUCUUUGCUUUGAUCAACUAUAUACACUUGGACUGAAUGAAUAACUGUAAUUUUGUAAGAGACCAAUAUAACAA